GUGGGUCCAGAGCCGGCGAGAGUUACGCGGGCGGGCGGACUAGAGCGCGCGGCGCGUCCGGGUCGGGAGGGAGCGAGCGAGACAUGGAAGAUGAGCAGAGCUUCUCGGAUAUCUGCGGCGGCCGUCUGUCCCUGCAGCGCCGCUACUACUCCCCGACUUGCCGGGAGUUCUGCAUCAGCUGCCCUCGACUCUCAUUGCGUUCGCUCACCGCUGUCACCUGCACCGUGUGGCUAGCGGCCUAUGGACUCUUCACCCUUUUCGAGAACAGCAUGAUCCUCUCUGCUGCCAUCUUCAUCACCCUCUUAGGCCUGCUUGGUUACCUCCAUUUUGUCAAGAUUGAUCAGGAGUCUCUGUUGAUCAUAGAUUCCCUUGGUAUCCAGAUGACAUCAUCUUACGCCUCAGGCAAAGAAAGCACUACCUUCUUUGAGAUGGGCCAGGUGAAGGAUGUGGUCAUCAAUGAAGCUAUUUACAUGCAGAAGGUGAUUUACUACCUCUGCAUUUUACUGAAGGAUCCAGUGGAGCCACACAGGAUAUCCCAAGUAGUCCCUGUCUUCCAGAGUGCCAAGCCCCGCCUGGACUGCUUGAUUGAAGUGUACAGGAGCUGCCAGGAGGUCCUGGCGCACCAGAAAGCCACACCGGCAAGUGCAUGAGUCCCAGCAUUCAGAAGGCCAGUAUUGUCUUCCAGGGGAAAGGACUCCGAAGCCAUAGUGGCUGGUUUACUUCCUGUAUUCCAAACCAUCGUGUGGACACAGUCCUAGGAACCAGUAUGGAUGCAGUGGAUCUCAGAGCCACAGAGCAGAUACGUCUGAGGAACAUGUUGUAGCAGCUGUCAGACCCACCUUGGGAGCAGCCAUCCGGAAGAGCAACUUCUCAAUGUGGCCCUUUCCAGAGCUCUGGUCCGGAAUGGAUCUAAUCACAAGCAUGAAGUCAUCCCGACAGCCACCAAAGGUCAUUACUGAAGAGUAGGGGCAUUGGUAGCCUUAACCAGAAAGGGAGAACUCUGAAGUGGUCAGAAGUUGGAGAUCCGUAUCUUGAAAAUCAACAGCUCUAUCUAGACUAGAGGACAGCAAGGCGGGGGUGCGGUGGGGUGAGUAGGGAAACCGUGAUCACUUAGCUCAGGCCUCCGAGUCCAGAGAGGACAAGAAAAGAUGCUGCUCAGGAGGAGGGGUCAGAGAGCCAGCCCUCCUUCCAUACCAUCGUGCUGUGGUCCAGGACGCUGACCCCAUCCUCAUUCACAGCAAUCCACACCAGGGCGCUCUCCUUGGAAGACAGCUGUGCAGGCUGGGGAAACAGGGAAAUCCCAUCACACAGGCCCACAGCUAGGGGAGCAGAACCAUGAAAGCUUUCCGAGGAAGAAGGUACACCUAGGGAUCUGCUAGGCAGUGAUUUCCAGCCUUUUUCUCAUCUUGGAAAACAAAGUUGGUACUUGCACAGCCUGCUGAAGGAAACAGGAGCCUUGGGACUCCAGCUACGGAACUGCCCUCCGGAGAGGGGAAGGGAACCUAGAGCCCAUCCUGCCACAGAGCACGGGGUGGGAGGCCUGUUUCCUCAUUCACACAGACAGCUCUGCCCCAGCUGAAGUGCAUCUCGCUUCAGCCAAGUUCCUAGGGGCUGUGAAUGAGACAGGAAAGCAAGAAUGCAGUCUUAGGGGCUUUAGGCCCUACCAGUGAGAAAAGUAACUCUGGUGGACCAUUCCUAAAAUGACUUUCACUGCCAGGACUGCAGUAGGGCAAUCUGGAUUUCUGAUCUCUCCUACCCAAAAGGCUGGGGAGACGGAUGGAGGUGUCCUCAUUUUCAGAAGCUUUUCCCAGCCCCAUAGACUGAGAGGGUCCCAGGGUCCCCUGUUAUACGCCUUUAUAACAUCCCUCUCCUCCUUCAGAGCACUUGAUACAGCUUAUAAAGUAACAUAUGUAUUUAGAGAGAGAAUAUGAUUAUUUGAUUAAUGUGUACCUCCUUUACUAGACUGGAAGCUCCACAAAAGCUAGGACUGUGUCUGAUUCGCUCAGCUCUUAGAAUCUUAAACAGUGCCUGAGACCCAGUAGGAGUUCAACAAGUCUUUAUUGAAUAAUGGGUGUCCACUGUCUAAUCUGUAUUACUAGUGAACAGGAUCAUGAUGCAGCUUUGAGGAUGUGAUCCUCUGGGUAUGAAUAAAUUUUGUGCACACCAGACACCUGGCGAAGAAAAGUUCCAAAUGAAAUGAAUACUGGUCACCUGGCCUUCAUGCAGUGAAAUUAACUGUUGCUUGAGUAGUUAAGAGUCUCUUGUGGCCAUGCUAAGUCAGUAGAGACGUAUUCAUUUAGGUUGUAUAUUGUAUCUUUUACACUUUUGACAAUGUUUAUUUUUGAGAGAGGGAGAGAUAGUGUGAGCGGGGGAGGGGCAGGGAGAGAGGGACACCGAGGAUCUGAAGCGCUGACACCAGACAGCCCGGUGAUGCAGGGCUCAAACUCAUGAACCAUGAGAUCAUGACCAGAGCUGAAAUUGGAUGCUUAACCAACUGAGCC